rnacentral:rRNA from 1 species
UACGAAGGGGGCUAGCGUUGCUCGGAAUCACUGGGCGUAAAGGGUGCGUAGGCGGGUCUUUAAGUCAGGGGUGAAAUCCUGGAGCUCAACUCCAGAACUGCCUUUGAUACUGAGGAUCUUGAGUUCGGGAGGGGUGAGUGGAACUGCGAGUGUAGAGGUGAAAUUCGUAGAUAUUCGCAAGAACACCAGUGGCGAAGGCGGCUCACUGGCCCGAUACUGACGCUGAGGCACGAAAGCGUGGGGAGCAAACAGGG